rnacentral:rRNA from 1 species
CAGUAGCCACGGUAAAACGGAGGGUGCAAGCGUUAAUCGGAAUUACUGGGCGUAAAGCGUGCGUAGGCGGUUUGUUAAGUCUGUUGUGAAAUCCCCGGGCUCAGCCUGGGAAUGGCAAUGGAUACUGGCAAGCUAGAGUGUGUCAGAGGAUGGUGGAAUUCCCGGUGUAGCGGUGAAAUGCGUAGAGAUCGGGAGGAACAUCAGUGGCGAAGGCGGCCAUCUGGGACAACACUGACGCUGAGGCACGAAAGCGUGGGGAGCAAACAGGAUUAGAUACCCGCGUAGUCCCUGUCUCUUAUAC